rnacentral:rRNA from 1 species
CUCCUACGGGAGGCAGCAGUGAGGAAUAUUGGUCAAUGGGCGAGAGCUGAACCAGCCAAGUAGCGUGCAGGAUGACGGCCCUAUGGGUUGUAAACUGCUUUUAUAAGGGAAUAAAGUGAGUCUCGUGAGACUUUUUGCAUGUACCUUAUGAAUAAGGACCGGCUAAUUCCGUGCCAGCAGCCGCGGUAAUACGGAAGGUCCGGGCGUUAUCCGGAUUUAUUGGGUUUAAAGGGAGCGUAGGCCGGAGAUUAAGCGUGUUGUGAAAUGUAGAUGCUCAACGUCUGCACUGCAGCGCGAACUGGUUUCCUUGAGUACGCACAAAGUGGGCGGAAUUCGUGGUGUAGCGGUGAAAUGCUUAGAUAUCACGAAGAACUCCGAUUGCGAAGGCAGCUCACUGGAGCGCAACUGACGCUGAAGCUCGAAAGUGCGGGUAUCGAACAGGAUUAGAUACCCUGGUAGUCCGCACGGUAAACGAUGGAUGCCCGCUGUUGGUCUGAAUAGGUCAGCGGCCAAGCGAAAGCAUUAAGCAUCCCACCUGGGGAGUACGCCGGCAACGGUGAAACUCAAAGGAAUUGACGGGGGCCCGCACAAGCGGAGGAACAUGUGGUUUAAUUCGAUGAUACGCGAGGAACCUUACCCGGGCUUGAAUUGCAGAGGAAGGAUUUGGAGACAAUGACGCCCUUCGGGGUCUCUGUGAAGGUGCUGCAUGGUUGUCGUCAGCUCGUGCCGUGAGGUGUCGGCUUAAGUGCCAUAACGAGCGCAACCCCUCUCCUUAGUUGCCAUCAGGUCAUGCUGGGCACUCUGGGGACACUGCCACCGUAAGGUGUGAGGAAGGUGGGGAUGACGUCAAAUCAGCACGGCCCUUACGUCCGGGGCUACACACGUGUUACAAUGGCAGGUACAGAGAGAUGGUGUUCUGCAAAGCGCAUCUAAUCCUUAAAGCCUGUCUCAGUUCGGACUGGGGUCUGCAACCCGACCCCACGAAGCUGGAUUCGCUAGUAAUCGCGCAUCAGCCAUGGCGCGGUGAAUACGUUCCCGGGCCUUGUACACACCGC